UGGUCUCAGAACCUGUGAUAUGUCAGGACACUGUGCAUCCCUAGAGCAGAUUCAGGCCAUAUAUGACUGCUUUGCCAAGAGAUCUGCCUCCUGCUGCCUCUUAGCAGAGACACUCCGCCACCCCACCCUGCCAGCCACUAAUCUAUACUUCUGUCAUGCUGUGGAUGAUAUACUUGGUCCUAGUGGAACAGACUGUGGGCGGCGGUGCCUAGUCAGAGGUCAGAGGUCACCGAGGACAUGCCGUUGACUAGUGCUUCCAGUCACUGUGCCACUCUGACUCCCUGCUCUCUCUUCCUGGAUUCCCUGAGGAAAACAGCUUUGCUUCCCCGUGCCUUCACUGCUACGAUGCUCUACUGCGUAUAACAAGAACACACUCACACAUAGACACUUUCACACAUGCACACACUCACACACAUAUGCACAUGCAUGUAUACUCACAUUGUAUUUAAUGCACACACCAUUGGAUUUAAAGUGAGUUUCUCACAGGGGAUAUUGUGCAGCCAUUAAUGGUGAAGUCUGAAAUGAGUUUACAGUCCUGCAGAGAAUUCUGCAUAUCAUAGGAGCAAACAAGGAGUAUACGCAAAACAAUGAUCUGUAUUUACAUUACCUACAUAAUUCAUCAUAUAUUAUCAGAAGUGACAACAUUCCCCAGAGCAGCCAGGUUAGAACAAGCGCACCAAGUCAACGAGGCGGCAGCGUCCUGGCUCGUUACGGAUGUUCCAGAAAAGGCUGUAGCUGACAAGAAGCUAGGUCCUGAACUGCACUGAGUGGCAGAAGAAAUAAGGUGAGAAUUCUAUGAUUCGUGGCUAAGAUUCAUACAGGAUGAGGGUCCCUGGGGUAAGAGGCGGAGCUGGCGGCCCACCACCUGCAUCUCUCUAAAGGGGUGAUGUAAUGCACGCCACGGGUGCUUUCUUUUCUUUCUUUUUUGUAUAUUGUUAAAUAGAUGCUGAGCAGGGUGGCCCUAAAACACAGACUCACAGAAGUGAGCCACAUAAGAGCAGCUAACAUCUGGAGAAUGUUUUUGAAGUUUCUUUGCAACAGCACUGGUUAUAGUUUGGACCUUAGCUGAUCCUCAGAAGCCCAUGACUUAAAGGCUCUCUCGGCAAAGUGGCGCUCCUGGCAGCUGGCAGAGCCCGUGGGCCGACUGGGAAGUCGUCACAUAAUUGGGGGUAUAGCCUUGGGGACCCUUGGUCACUUUCAUUCCCUCUCUGCUCCCUCUCAGUCUGUGAGUUGAGGCUUUUACAACCCUCACAAACUCAAAGCAGUAGAGCGGAUACGCCAUGGACCAAAACUAUGAACUAAAAUAACCUUUUUUCUCUUUAAAGUUGGUUAUAUUGGGGGUAUUUUGUUAUAGUGAGGGAAAACUGGCUACCCAACAAAACACAAAAUAUCACAUGCUUAGAAAUAAAUUUCACAAAAAGAUGAGUAAAAUCUGAACUCUAGGAAAAACACUGCCAAGAAAAUUAACAUCUGUGUAACCAGAAAGACCUCAGAUGCUCAUGGAUUAGAGACCAAAUACUGUGAAGAUGCCAAUCGCCCUGGCUUUAUGCACAGAUUCAGUUUCAGUUCAAUUACAAUCCUACUUGGACAUUUUCCCCCAGAUUCUCAAGUUUGUAUGGAAACCUUGAAGAACCUAGAAUAGUCAAAGCAAUCUUGAAAAACUUUAUAUUUUGAAUCAGUUUAUAUUUCCUGAUUUCCAAACUUACCAUAAGGUUCCCAUAAGCAGGCAAUAUGAUACUAGUAUAGACAAAUAUCUCCAUAGGACAGAACCAAAUUAAUAAGCAGAGUCCCAGGGCUGGGGAGAUGCUCAGUUCCCACAAAAGCAGGAGCCCCGAGUUCAGAUCCCCAGCACUCUAGUAAGAACCAGGAGCUGUGGGCACAGUCUGUCACUCCAAAGGGUUGGGGGAUGUGGAGAGAGAGA